AGGAAUGUAUGCAUUAAGAACGAGUAAAGGAAAUGCCGCAGGAGCUAGUCUGUUUUUACAUGGAAAUCUAUUGAGCCUGAAAUUCUGUUUCUGCAUAUGUAUCAGUUACUUUCUGGCUUCUUGCUAGGAUUUUCAGGCCAGAAGAAGAAGUGGGAAUUUAUUAAGCCUUUUGGCACAAACCGUUCUAGCAGCCUCAGCAAUACUAUAAUCUGGCAUUUCAGGUCCUGUGGGUAUAAAUGUAAAAGUACAAGCCUGCAAUCAUUCAGACCUAGAAGAAAAGCACUUACUUCCCCUGGCUCUCUGCUCCAUGGUGUACUUUUACCUGCAAAGCAAAAAUUGAGUAUAAAUCUUUGUUGAAGGAGGAGAGCCAUUCCCAGUCCCAGUCCCAGUCCCACUGGCUGGUUGAAUCAGAGAGCAAAAGUACAAAAUAGUAUCUGUAUGAGGAAAACUGAGUCCGAGUUUCUGACCCUCUUAUUGUUAUGCCCACGGACCCCAUGAAAGAACUGUUGCAGAGGUAACGUGGCUUCUGCUCAGCCUUAUUAACUCACCGUCUAAUGUUUCCAUCUUGGACUGUUGCUGACUCCUCCACCCUUGUCUUUUUCCUCUUUGGCUCUUUUCUCUCACUCUGCCACUACGGGUGUCAAAGUUUUGGAAUUUGCCACUGGCAAAUUGGUGUUAUCAUCCCGGUGAUGUCAUCAAGGACUCCAUGGCAGGUUUUCAGGCUGCCAGAAAAAGGGUUGAAAAGAAAGAGGGAGGAUCCUCUCCCGAAAGAAAAAGGCAAGGCAACCAUUUUUGGAGCUGAAACAGUUACUGUUAAUUGCUAAAGAAGUUACUUGCUGGGAUCAGCCUUUCCUUAUUUUGGUGCGGCCCUGAAAGGAAUUGAAAGGGACAUUUUUAGAAGAAGAAAAAAAGAAAAAGAAAAAAAAAAAGUGACCCUAUGUGAUGUGAUGGUGUGUUAAUGUCUUUGGUGGAUUAAUGCACUCAUAUAUCAAAUGUUAAACUAGACCGUUGUGGGGUAGAUGAGGCCGAUUGUAGUGGUGGACUAACUCUUCUUAAUCUACAGGCAUGUCUUAGAUACA